AUACUUACCUGGCAAGGGAGACACCGUGAUCAAGAAGGCGGUUCACCCAGGGCGAGGCUCAGCCAUUGCACUCCGGCUGUGCUGACCCAUUCGAAUUUCCCUAAAUGUGGAAAUCUCAAUUGCAUAAUUUCUGGUAGUGGGGCCUGCGUUCGCGCUCUCCCCUG
rnacentral:snRNA from 8 species